rnacentral:rRNA from 1 species
GGUUAAGCGACUAAGCGUACACGGUGGAUGCCCUGGCAGUCAGAGGCGAUGAAGGACGUGCUAAUCUGCGAAAAGCGUCGGUAAGGUGAUAUGAACCGUUAUAACCGGCGAUGUCCGAAUGGGGAAACCCAGUGUGAUUCGUCACACUAUCGUUAACUGAAUACAUAGGUUAACGAGGCGAACCGGGGGAACUGAAACAUCUAAGUACCCCGAGGAAAAGAAAUCAACCGAGAUUCCCCCAGUAGCGGCGAGCGAACGGGGAGCAGCCCAGAGUCUGAAUCAGCUUGUGUGUUAGUGGAACGGUCUGGAAAGUCCGACGGUACAGGGUGAUAGUCCCGUACACCAAAAUGCACAGGCUGUGAACUCGAAGAGUAGGGCGGGACACGUGGUAUCCUGUCUGAAUAUGGGGGGACCAUCCUCCAAGGCUAAAUACUCCUGACUGACCGAUAGUGAACCAGUACCGUGAGGGAAAGGCGAAAAGAACCCCGGCGAGGGGAGUGAAAAAGAACCUGAAACCGUGUACGUACAAGCAGUGGGAGCACCUUCGGGUGUGACUGCGUACCUUUUGUAUAAUGGGUCAGCGACUUAUAUUCUGUAGCAAGGUUAACCGUAUAGGGGAGCCGCAGGGAAACCGAGUCUUAACUGGGCGUUAAGUUGCAGGGUAUAGACCCGAAACCCGGUGAUCUAGCCAUGGGCAGGUUGAAGGUUGGGUAACACUAACUGGAGGACCGAACCGACUAAUGUUGAAAAAUUAGCGGAUGACUUGUGGCUGGGGGUGAAAGGCCAAUCAAACCGGGAGAUAGCUGGUUCUCCCCGAAAGCUAUUUAGGUAGCGCCUCGUGAACUCAUCUUCGGGGGUAGAGCACUGUUUCGGCUAGGGGGUCAUCCCGACUUACCAACCCGAUGCAAACUACGAAUACCGAAGAAUGUUAUCACGGGAGACACACGGCGGGUGCUAACGUCCGUCGUGAAGAGGGAAACAACCCAGACCGCCAGCUAAGGUCCCAAAGUCAUGGUUAAGUGGGAAACGAUGUGGGAAGGCACAGACAGCCAGGAUGUUGGCUUAGAAGCAGCCAUCAUUUAAAGAAAGCGUAAUAGCUCACUGGUCGAGUCGGCCUGCGCGGAAGAUGUAACGGGGCUAAACCAUGCACCGAAGCUGCGGCAGCGACACUAUGUGUUGUUGGGUAGGGGAGCGUUCUGUAAGCCUGCGAAGGUGACCUGUGAGGGUUGCUGGAGGUAUCAGAAGUGCGAAUGCUGACAUAAGUAACGAUAAAGCGGGUGAAAAGCCCGCUCGCCGGAAGACCAAGGGUUCCUGUCCAACGUUAAUCGGGGCAGGGUGAGUCGACCCCUAAGGCGAGGCCGAAAGGCGUAGUCGAUGGGAAACAGGUUAAUAUUCCUGUACUUGGUGUUACUGCGAAGGGGGGACGGAGAAGGCUAUGUUAGCCGGGCGACGGUUGUCCCGGUUUAAGCAUGUAGGCUGGUUGUCCAGGCAAAUCCGGAUAAUCAAGGCUGAGGUGUGAUGACGAGGCACUACGGUGCUGAAGUAACAAAUGCCCUGCUUCCAGGAAAAGCCUCUAAGCAUCAGGUAACAUUAAAUCGUACCCCAAACCGACACAGGUGGUCAGGUAGAGAAUACCAAGGCGCUUGAGAGAACUCGGGUGAAGGAACUAGGCAAAAUGGUGCCGUAACUUCGGGAGAAGGCACGCUGGUGUGUAGGUGAAGUCCCUGCGGAUGGAGCUGAGACCAGUCGAAGAUACCAGCUGGCUGCAACUGUUUAUUAAAAACACAGCACUGUGCAAACACGAAAGUGGACGUAUACGGUGUGACGCCUGCCCGGUGCCGGAAGGUUAAUUGAUGGGGUUAUCCGUAAGGAGAAGCUCUUGAUCGAAGCCCCGGUAAACGGCGGCCGUAACUAUAACGGUCCUAAGGUAGCGAAAUUCCUUGUCGGGUAAGUUCCGACCUGCACGAAUGGCGUAAUGAUGGCCAGGCUGUCUCCACCCGAGACUCAGUGAAAUUGAACUCGCUGUGAAGAUGCAGUGUACCCGCGGCAAGACGGAAAGACCCCGUGAACCUUUACUAUAGCUUGACACUGAACAUUGAGCCUUGAUGUGUAGGAUAGGUGGGAGGCUUUGAAGCGUGGACGCCAGUCUGCGUGGAGCCAACCUUGAAAUACCACCCUUUAAUGUUUGAUGUUCUAACGUUGGCCCCUGACCGGGGUUGCGGACAGUGUCUGGUGGGUAGUUUGACUGGGGCGGUCUCCUCCCAAAGCGUAACGGAGGAGCACGAAGGUUAGCUAAUCCUGGUCGGACAUCAGGAGGUUAGUGCAAUGGCAUAAGCUAGCUUGACUGCGAGCGUGACGGCGCGAGCAGGUGCGAAAGCAGGUCAUAGUGAUCCGGUGGUUCUGAAUGGAAGGGCCAUCGCUCAACGGAUAAAAGGUACUCCGGGGAUAACAGGCUGAUACCGCCCAAGAGUUCAUAUCGACGGCGGUGUUUGGCACCUCGAUGUCGGCUCAUCACAUCCUGGGGCUGAAGUAGGUCCCAAGGGUAUGGCUGUUCGCCAUUUAAAGUGGUACGCGAGCUGGGUUUAGAACGUCGUGAGACAGUUCGGUCCCUAUCUGCCGUGGGCGCUGGAGAAUUGAGGGGGGCUGCUCCUAGUACGAGAGGACCGGAGUGGACGCAUCACUGGUGUUCGGGUUGUCAUGCCAAUGGCACUGCCCGGUAGCUAAAUGCGGAAGAGAUAAGUGCUGAAAGCAUCUAAGCACGAAACUUGCCCCGAGAUGAGUUCUCCCUGAGACUUUAAGUCUCCUGAAGGAACGUUGAAGACGACGACGUUGAUAGGCCGGGUGUGUAAGCGCAGCGAUGCGUUGAGCUAACCGGUACUAAUGAACCGUGAGGCUUAACCUU